GCGGGGGCGUGGAGGGGGCCGCCCGCGUGGGGUCGGCUGCGGCCCGGCAGAGUUGGCGCGCGAGGGUGUGGAAGCCGAGAGGUGAUCCUGCCGACCGCACCGCGGACGCGUGCGGGACGCUGUCCCCUGUCUACUCCGCGCUCCCAGGUGCCUGUGAUGAAUGACACAUCGAUCAACCCAUAGUCUUCAGACAUUGCCGUGUGAAGCCAAUGAAAGAUAUCUGCUGGUAACCAAAUGAUGAGCUUAUGAAAAGACCGCGGAGACUAUGAGCUAUCCUGGGGUUCCACGUGCCAGAGACAUGAAGAAAGCAGAGCGGUCCCAGAGAAAAGUGACCGUGGAGGAGGAGCUUCCGCCAGAAGCGAGGGAAUAGGAUGUCACACGAAAAGAACCGGGCUGCCCGAGAACGCUUUCCAGGUCAGACGGUUGGCUGCUUCUUCCCUGUAGCUAAAUAAAGGACCAUCUUCAAAGGACGAGAAGGCGAGUCCAUCUGGUCUCCGUGAUUGCACUGGUCAGGGGAGUCCCAGCCAAGUCCCAAGCUUUCGCUAUGUGGACAGUCAGCUCAUACCACCCAGAAUCUACAUCUGGCUGCCAAAUGCACCUUGCUCUGGCCACCCACGUGCACGAGAUCCAAUGAGCAACAGCCUCCGCAUUCUCCUGGCUGAACAAAGAGGGCGAUUGCCACAAGCAGGGCUAUUGUUCAGUUGGCAUUGGCAUCAAAGGCCCAGGCCAGCUCCCCUUUGUCUGUCAGCUGCUAUUCAGAAGGAAAAGAGAAGAAAAGCAAACCAAUAGGUUUCUUGGAGAGAAUCAUCUGUGGACGUGGGACGUUUGCUGUAGUGCUGCGCUAACGUGAUUGUAAUAACAACUUGUAAAGCCUACUUAACAUGGAGAGCCUUACCAGCCCAUAUUCCAAAAUGUCACGGUGCCUGCUUAUAACGGGCAUACUGUUUCCCGGAUUUAGAGCUCUUUAGACUUGAGUCAUCCCUGCCUGCUUCUGUGUGACAAGGUCUGGGCACGGCGUUUUGGAGCACAUUGUCACAGGGAUGGUAACCUUUUUACCCUACGUCAGCAUUAAGAACACGGCGUCUUGCCUUCAGAUAACAUUCUGCAAGAGCCUCUUCCGCAGAAAGCCAGAUUUUUUUUCACCUGGCUCUUUGCCCGUCUCAGGCCACCAACAGCAAUGGGCUCUUGACACCUUCACAUAUGUCAGCUUUUUUUUCUUCUGACUCUUUCGCCCGCACUGGAGGAUGAAGGGUCAGGCAGAUACAGUCCUCCCUGGCAGGCAGGAGUAUUGUUUUGUGUGCGGGUCAAAAAUUUUAUUUGUAUUAUGAGGUCUUCCUGACACGUGGGAAAAGAACAGGUAAUAAAAAUAACGAACGUGCGGUUUCCACCUCUAGGCUUGAAAAAAAUGACAAAACACUGGUGUCCUGUGCACCCAUUCUGAUCGCCUUCCUCUCCCCCCCCCCCCCCCCCCCCGGCUCCUGGGGUCAUUACUCUCCUCCCAUGUUGGUCAUGCCAUGUACUCUGUGGGCUUUUACAAUGAUCCGUACACCAUGUAGGGUUUUACAUGUUUCGAAACUUUGUGUAAGUGGCAUUAGGUUACAGUGCAAUUGAAAAUUAUGCUUUGGACUUGCCCAAGGCGGUACGGAGAGUACUGGUUGAUCUGGCUUUCGCGGCUAUACAGUUAGUAAGAAUAUACUAAGACCCGCUCGUGUGUUUUCCAGGUGAGGGACAUUUAGGCUGCUCCCAGUUGUGUGGUAUAACAUCAAUACACAAAACAUCAAUUAUAUUCUAUAUAGUAGCCAAGAACAAUUCAAAAAUAAAAUUAAGACAUAAUCUUACACACACUUUGUUUUCUUUUUUUUUUUUUAAUUUUUAAAUGUUUUUAUUUCUUUUUGAGACAGAGAAAGACAGAGCAUGAGCAGGGAAGGGGCAGAGAGACAGGGAGACACAGAAUCCAAAGCAGGCUCCAGGCUCUGAGCUGUCAGCACAGAGCCCGACGCGGGGCUCGAACUCACAGACUGUGAGAUCAUGACCUGAGCCGAAGUCAGACGGUCAACCGACAGCCACCCAGGCGCCCCUAAACAUUUUGUUUUCUUUCAAACACUUCUGUACUGAGCAUUCUUAGGCAGGAGUACUUUAUUAACAUUUUUUUAGGACCGCUGGUGUGUGGUGAUAACACAAAGCAGCCAGACUUUUAGUCAGUUUCGUAUUGUUUUUCAAUUUGGAGAGACAAUGCACUGUUGUUGAUCCAAGCACCCAGGGUGGAUCCCACCCAUCAAGGCUCUAGAUUCUCCACUGAUCUCUUGGGCCAUCUUUCCAUCUACUUCCUGACCUGUGCCUGAUCUCUUCAGCGUCUGUUUCCUGAGGUCAACUUGACCUCCAUCUCUGAUUCCUUGUACCAAGUCUCCUUUCCACUGGACUCUGGCUUCCCUUGCUCCUUUGAUUAUACAAUUUCCAGCUAUUCUAGGUGAAAACCUCACACAGUCUCGCCCCGGAUCCUGUUCCUGUGGCUUUGGAUGCUCUUGGCAAGCAUCCCUGCUGGAUUCCUCAGGUCCCAAAAAUAGAGAUAAGAAGGGACACGUAUAGAGUUUUCUCUGAAUCCCUGAUGCGCCUCACAGGGAUUGGUGUGGAGAAAAUGCUCAGUGAUUGAAUGAUUUACUGAAUAAAAGGAGAGGGUAAAAUGGAAUUUGAUAGAUGUGGUAUAGAUUGGGAUUCCGUAAGAUCCUUCUAACAAUACAAGUAGAUUGACUCUCACUGAGUGGAGAAACUUUUAUGGAAACACUAUGGCACGUAGCCAAGUCAUUUAAGAGAGCAUAAUAAAUCUGAUGUUUCCUUUCACCUGACUGCAUUCCUGAAGAAUAUUCAGUGUUCAACACCCACACAUACAUACACACUCAGAGGCAUACACACCAACACUUCCAUUUCCUGAAAAGAUUCAGUGAUAAUCUAUUUUAAGUGCUGCUAAGCAAUUUAAAUAGAAGACUACCAAGUUGUCUUCCGAAGUAAACUGUUAUCGAAGUGUAACAAACAGGGAAUGCACAAAUCAUGAGUGAGUCAAGUGAAUAGGCAUAAACUAAACUCACCUGGUAAUCAUAUCCCGGAACAUACCAUCUCCCAAAACCCCAUUCGUGCUUCAUCUCAGUCACUACAUGAUCUCCCUGAAGGUAACCACCAUUCUGAUUUCCAGCACUGCUAGAUUAGUUUCGCCUUGUUUAGAACUUUACGCAAAGAGAAUCAUACAGCAUCUACUCUUUGCUGUCUGACUCCCUUUGUCCAACAGUAAGUUCGUGAGAUGUAUCCAACUCACCUGUAUUAGUCACAGGACUAAUUCAUUUUCAUUGCUAUCUAGUAUUCCAUUGCAUGAAUGUAUCACAAUUUGUUCAUAUUACUGUUGAUGGGCAUUUGGGUCGUUUCCAGUUUUUAACUGGAAUGAAUGGGGUUGCAGUAAGCAUUUGAGUCUAUGUUUUUUUGCGGGUGCACAUGUGCACACACUUCUUUUGGGCAAACACUGAGGAGUCAAGUCGCAGGUACGACAGGUGUGCAUAUGUUGAGUUUUCAUGUUGCCGCGCAGUGCCUGUACAUUUUACACUAAUGUCAGCAGGGUCUGCUAACUCCAGAAGCUCCUCGCCCGCACGGGCAUUUUCUGUCUGGGGCACAAAGUGAAAACUCUGUGCCCUGUCUUCCAAGUGGUAGUUCCUUAGAGAUCCCAAAUCCCAUUUUCUUCUGAUUCUACCUCUUUCCUGAUCUUUCCGUUUCUGUUGCUGACUCCUUUUCCUUUGCCCACUCUUUUUACAUGUAACCUUUUCCCUAAGAUCCUAUCUUCUUCCUUUUUGCUUUCUUAUUCUAUUUAUCCUACACAAUCCAUUCAUUCAUUCCUUCAGCAGAUAGUGAGUCCCCACUACAUGCUGGGGACUGUGUUAGCUGAUGAGCAAAACACACAAGGUCCCUGCCCCUAAUUCUAUGGGAAGGGAAGCAUUUAACAGUUAAUUCUCAUGCAUGACUUUAUAAUCACACAUAACAAUCACCGACAUGAGGGAAAAGAAAUGGGUGCCAUGAGAGUAACUUGGGGAUUUGAUUUGGACUGGAAAGUUCAGGAAAAGCCCCUUUGAUUAAUCUCAGGCAGAAAGUUGAGUAGAAGGCAAAGGAAUGGGUGUAGGGGAGAGAAAAGAUGCACAUGUGUGAAGGCUCAGAGGGAGGAAAGUGUGUGGAACAGUCAGAGACGGUGAAAGGCCAGUUUCGGAGCUUGAGGAGCAAAGUGGCUUGCUGUAAGUCUAGACAGGGAGGCAGAACACAGAACAUGUGGAGCCUUGGAGGCCAUGUCAAGCGUUUUGUACAAUGGGAAAUCACUGAAGAGAUACAGAGUCAGUUGUCUGCAGGACCUGAUGGGCUUUGUCAGACCUCUCAGGCUGCCGUGUGGGGAUGGGAUUGGAAAGAAGCAUGAGUGGAAGCGGGCGGACCAGUUGGAAGGUUAUUGCAGCUCUCCAGAGAAGAGAUAAUGAUGGCUAGGAGCUGGGCAGUAGAGUGGAGAUGGUGAGAAGUAGACACUGGGGAAAGGACAGAGAAGUAUGGGCAAGAUCUGGUUCCCCAUCUCCAGCAGGAGUUGGUAGAGCCGUUUCCCAGAUUUCUGACUUGAGCAACUGAAUGAAUGGAGGAGCCAUUCUUCUGGUUGAGGGAGACUAGAGGUGAUAUGGAUUUGGAUAUGUGGGGGUGGGGAAUCACAAGUUUUAAGUAUGUAACAGUUUAUUAUACCUCUGAGACACACACAGGUGGACAGGCUUUAUGGACAGUUUGGUGCUGAGAUAUUUCACUCUCAAAAAUUUGGUUUGCCCCAGCACCCUCCACUCAUGCAAGGUGAGGCAUCCCAUUGUUCAGGGGAGGGCAGACAUAGUUAAGAAAAAGGUGGUAAAGAUUAGCCUUGCUUUUAAAAUGUAUCACCUAGCAGAAUAAUUAAUGAUAAUAAUAAUAAAAAGCUGUUGGAAAUUCUGCCAUUUGUUACAACGUGGAAGGACCUUGAGGGUGUUAGGCUAAGUGAAAUAAGUCAGGCAGAAAGACAAAUACUGUGUGAUCUCACUUAUACAUGGAACCUAAAAACAGCAACAACAACAAAACAACAACAUACUCACAGACCUAGAGAACAGAUUGGUGGUUGCCAGAGGUGGGGAGGAGGGGAUGCUGGAGGUGGGCAAAAUAGGUACAGAUGGUCGAAAGUACAAACUUCCAUUUAUGAGAUGAAAUAAGUCCUAGAAAAGGGGCACUGGGUAGCUCAGUGACUUCAGAUAAGAAAGAGCAUUACUUCUCAUGAUCUCAUAGUUAGUGAGUUCAGGCCCCACGUCGGGCUCUGUGCUGACAGUCAGAG